AAACAAAGAUCAGGCACUGCGCUGCAGAGAAGGAUCGGUAUUCGACAGCUGGCACGGAGGAGAGACAGGCCUGAGCCUGCCGCCGUGUGCGCGGGAGUCCAGGGCGGGAGGCCCAGCCGCCCUCAGGGAAGGACCCGUGCGUGUCCGCUGGCCGUGCGGCCCGGCCCGUCGCCCAGGUGUCAGUCCCGGCCUGGAAAGGAAUGUCAAACAUCUCCCCGGACCCAGAGGGAGCCAGGAGGGCGACCAGCCAAGCCUGCCUGCCUGCUUCACUUUCCCGACAGCGGCAGGCAGCGCCCCACCGCGGCAACUCACUCUCCCACUCCGGGGAACAACAGGACACCCUCCGUGCCGAAAGGAGAGAGCCGGGACGGGGCGGGAGAAAUUUCGGGCGAGCCCGUCUUUGAGAGAAGCGCAGGUUGAAAUCGGCAGGACUGACGACACUGCUUCCGUCAGAACACGAGGCUGUCGAGGAGCACAGAUAAAAACCCAGGAUGGAUAUCUACGCCUCGAUCUCCAGGGGGUUCUAUCACCCACAGGCAAGAUGAGGGUGAAAACGGGAGCAAAGAUUUUAAUUUGCCCCAGACAGUAAAAACACCAGCUUUAUGUUCCUCUUGUAAAGCUAGAUUUAUUCUUAGAGCGUGCUGGCAAGAGACAAACUCUCUGUCAGCUGUGCGGAUUCUAAUGCAGUAAUGAACGAGGCUCCUGCAGUGACUGUUAUCAAUGCUUGAGUUCAGAAAAUGAAGCCUACACAUGCUGACGCAGCUCCCCACCUGAACCCGUUUAACCCCGAGGCCGCCAUGUUGCACCCAUCGCUGUCGGGCCGGCGGUGAAUGUUCGGUGACCCCCGAGGAGGCCAGAGGGUUCCUGAAACCGAGCUCUGGUAAAGAGAGCAGUGCCACAGCGCUCUGACUGACCCUCACGAAGGUGCGCUCUUACCACACGCUUCCUUUGUGCUGCCCUGGUUUUUAUCCCGCUUUCCCAAAACUCCCACAAGAUUAACCGCGAUUUCCCCUCCCUUCUGCUGAAACGAGGAGACGCUACACAGAACGAGGGGGGGCGUUCAGGCCAGAGAUGAGCUGCGGGACAGGAACUGCAUCGCGGAAGUGUGCUGGGACAGACACAGGGCUUUCACAGCCUGGUGACUUACCUCCAACACAUCGAGACUUCUCCUGCUCAGAAACAAAACACUUCAGCCUUUUCAGGAUUUUGCUGGCAAAUUCAUCUUUAAUACAAAAACGCGUGAGAAGGUUAUGUGGAGAGGAAAAAAAACAAAAAAUGGGUCAAACACUUUUUAAAUCAUCCCCUGGAUAUAAAAGCCUGAACAGAAAAGUCAGGACAAAUCCAUGGGGGAAAAAAGGGAUGUGUGCAGAGGUGAGUAUUCUAUCCCAACAAUGUGGUGCACAGGCACAAGGUCUCCCUGUCUUCUGCACCUGUGUGCCCUGAGAGCAGCACCACGUCCCAAUUAUUCCCUCCCAUCCGGCUAGAUGGUCUCCUCGGAGACAGUGGCGGUGCUCAGGAAAGCACUCUGCUCGGUAGAUUUGGCUUGUUGUGAAAACCUGAAGAAAACCCUGC